CUACUAUUCUUAUGCCUAACAGCCCUUACAAGAAUUUUGGCAAAUGAAGUGGAAAUACCAUCAGUAAUAUCUGAAAGAGCAGAACUUGUGGAACCUUCGGGAGAAUCUCGUCCUUUGGGAAAAGAAGGUCCAAUGAAACGGAAAGAUAUGACUGGACAAACAACGAGCCCGCUAAUUCUGGCCUGACAAUCAACGCUACCAAACACAACU
rnacentral:lncRNA from 1 species